GACCCCUGGCAACAGGCAAAGAGACACCUUAUUGUUGGUGGUGUUCUUAUAUCAGUCAAGGACAGAGCGGAUGGCAGUCCUUUGUUUAUCCUAGCUUGAUGCCUGGCUUGGUGGCCAAAGCUGUCUUAUGCCUAGGACUCAUAA
ensembl:snoRNA LOC120093433 small nucleolar RNA SNORA48